rnacentral:rRNA from 1 species
GGCCGGCCCAAGGGGGAACUUGGGUCCAAUUACACCCAAACCCUUCCCAGGUUUUUCCAUCCCGUUGCCCUGAAAAAACAAGGUUUUCCAUUGGGGGCCCGACCAGUGCCGAAUGGUUUGGCAAGUUCUUCCUUAAAUUAGGUUUAAAGUCCCGAACCAUUUACCUUGAUUAGUUGCCCAUCAAGACUUGGCCCUUUAGGGAUUCCCGGUCAACCUGCAGUAAGGUUGGGAUCACGGUAAAUGUUCAGCCCUAUACAGUCUAGCCGUGCUCAAUGGCGAUCUGGCGUGCACCUCGCGAGAGGGAUAUAUCCGAUAAAUCCGUUCUUCAGUUCGGCAUGUAGGCUGGUCUUUCGAGUACAUGAACCUGAAUCAGAUAGAAUUCGGGAUUACAUCCCGGUGGUGAAUAAGUUAUCCGGGCACUUGUACAUACCGCCGCGUCACGCCACGAAGUUUGAACACGCCGAAGUCGGUGGGGUAACCUUUGUCGACUUCAUCUACACACU